rnacentral:rRNA from 1 species
UUUUUUAAUUGAGAACUUGUAUGAAAGGUUGAAUGAAAUAUUAAUUGUUUCAAAAAAAAAUUGAUUAAAAUUUUAUUUUUUAGUUAAAAAGCUAAGAUAUAUAUAAAAGACGAGAAGACCCUAUAAAGUUUUAUAAAAAUAAGUUAAUAAAUUUUAUUUAGGAAAAUAUAAAAAAUUUUUAAUUUAGUUAUUUUAUUGGGGUGAUAAUAAAAUUUAAAAAACUUUUAUAUUUUUAUUUACAAAAAUUAUUGUAUUAAUUAAUGAUCCUUUAUUUAAGAUUAAAAAUUUAAAUUACUUUAGGGAUAACAGCGUAAUAUUUUUUUUAAGUUCAUAUUUGUAAAAAAGAUU